rnacentral:rRNA from 1 species
UACGUAGGCAGCGAGCGUUGUUCGGAAUUACUGGGCGUAAAGAGUGUGUAGGCGGUGCUCUAAGUUCGGUGUGAAAUCUCCCGGCUUAACUGGGGAGGGUGCGCCGGGGAACUGGAGUGCUCGAACGUGGGAGAGGAAAGCGGAAUUCCUGGUGUAGCGGUGAAAUGCGUAGAUAUCGAGAGGAACACCGGUGGCGAAGGCGGCCUUCUGGACGAGUGACUGACGCUGGAGAACGCGAAAGCCGUGGGGAGCAAACAGG